rnacentral:rRNA from 1 species
CUGUUGGAGUGCACGUCCAAGCAGUGAGAUUGAGUGUUAGGCAAAUCCGGCACUCUUAAGAUUGAGCUGUGAUGGGGAGAGGAACUUGUUCCUCGAGUCGUUGAUUUCACACUGCCGAGAAAAGCCUCUAGCUAGAAUAACGGUGCCCGUACCGCAAACCGACACAGGUAGUCAAGAUGAGAAUUCUAAGGUGAGCGAGCGAACUCUCGUUAAGGAACUCGGCAAAAUGACCCCGUAACUUCGGGAGAAGGGGUGCUCUUUGAGGUUCACGCUUCGAAGAGCCGCAGUGAAUAGGCCCAAGCGACUGUUUAUCAAAAACACAGGUCUCUGCUAAACCGUAAGGUGACGUAUAGGGGCUGACGCCUGCCCGGUGCUGGAAGGUUAAGAGGAGUGGUUAGCGCAAGCGAAGCUACGAAUCGAAGCCCCAGUAAACGGCGGCCGUAACUAUAACGGUCCUAAGGUAGCGAAAUUCCUUGUCGGGUAAGUUCCGACCCGCACGAAAGGCGUAACGAUUUGGGCACUGUCUCAACGAGAGACUCGGUGAAAUCAUAGUACCGGUGAAGAUGCCGGUUACCCGCGACAGGACGGAAAGACCCCGUGGAGCUUUACUGUAGCCUGAUAUUGAAAUUCGGUACAGUUUGUACAGGAUAGGUAGGAGCCUUAGAAGCGUGAGCGCUAGCUUACGUGGAGGCAUUGGUGGGAUACUACCCUAAUUGUAUUGGAUUUCUAACCCGCAGCACUUAUCGUGCUGGGAGACAGUGUCAGGCGGGCAGUUUGACUGGGGCGGUCGCCUCCUAAAGAGUAACGGAGGCGCUCAAAGGUUCCCUCAGAAUGGUUGGAAAUCAUUCAUAGAGUGUAAAGGCAUAAGGGAGCUUGACUGCGAGACCUACAAGUCGAGCAGGGUCGAAAGACGGACUUAGUGAUCCGGUGGUUCCGCAUGGAAGGGCCAUCGCUCAACGGAUAAAAGCUACCCCGGGGAUAACAGGCUUAUCUCCCCCAAGAGUUCACAUCGACGGGGAGGUUUGGCACCUCGAUGUCGGCUCAUCGCAUCCUGGGGCUGUAGUCGGUCCCAAGGGUUGGGCUGUUCGCCCAUUAAAGCGGUACGCGAGCUGGGUUCAGAACGUCGUGAGACAGUUCGGUCCCUAUCCGUCGUGGGCGUAGGAAAUUUGAGAGGAGCUGUCCUUAGUACGAGAGGACCGGGAUGGACAUACCUCUGGUGUACCAGUUGUCGUGCCAACGGCAUAGCUGGGUAGCUAUGUAUGGACGGGAUAAGUGCUGAAAGCAUCUAAGCAUGAAGCCCCCCUCGAGAUGAGAUUUCCCAACUUCGGUUAUAAGAUCCCUCAAAGAUGAUGAGGUGAAUAGGUUCGAGGUGGAAGCGUAGUGAUACGUGGAGCUGACGAAUACUAAUCGAUCGAAGACUUAAUCAA